rnacentral:rRNA from 1 species
GAUGAACGCUGGCUACAGGCUUAACACAUGCAAGUCGAGGGGAAACGACGGGGAAGCUUGCUUCCCCGGGCGUCGACCGGCGCACGGGUGAGUAACGCGUAACCAACCUGCCUCUGACUGAGGGAUAACCCGUCGAAAGUCGGCCUAAUACCUCAUGGCAUCGUCUGCGGGCAUCCAACGACGAUUAAAGAUUUCAUCGGCCAGGGAUGGGGAUGCGUCUGAUCAGCUUGUUGGCGGGGUAACGGCCCACCAAGGCUACGAUCAGUAGGGGUUCUGAGAGGAAGGUCCCCCACAUUGGAACUGAGACCCGGUCCAAACUCCUACGGGAGGCAGCAGUGAGGAAUAUUGGUCAGUGGGCGGGAGCCUGAACCAGCCGAGUAGCGUGCAGGAUGACGGCCCUAUGGGUUGUAAACUGCUUUUAUGCGGGGAUAAAGUGAGGGACGUGUCCUUCAUUGCAGGUACCGCAUGAAUAAGGACCGGCUAAUUCCGUG